rnacentral:rRNA from 1 species
UACGUAGGGUGCAAGCGUUAAUCGGAAUUACUGGGCGUAAAGCGUGCGCAGGCGGUUAUGCAAGACAGAUGUGAAAUCCCCGGGCUCAACCUGGGAACUGCAUUUGUGACUGCAUGGCUAGAGUGCGGCAGGAGGGGGAUGGAAUUCCGCGUGUAGCAGUGAAAUGCGUAGAUAUGCGGAGGAACACCGAUGGCGAAGGCAAUCCCCUGGGCCUGCACUGACGCUCAUGCACGAAAGCGUGGGGAGCAAACAGG